UGGAGAGUUUGAUCCUGGCUCAGGACGAACGCUGGCGGCGUGCUUAACACAUGCAAGUCGAACGGAAAGGCCCUUUCGGGGGUGCUCGAGUGGCGAACGGGUGAGUAACACGUGGGUGAUCUGCCCUGCACUUUGGGAUAAGCCUGGGAAACUGGGUCUAAUACCGAAUACUUCCUACUGGUUGCAUGGCUGGUAGGGGAAAGCUUUUGCGGUGUGGGAUGAGCCCGCGGCCUAUCAGCUUGUUGGUGGGGUGAUGGCCUACCAAGGCGACGACGGGUAGCCGGCCUGAGAGGGUGUCCGGCCACACUGGGACUGAGAUACGGCCCAGACUCCUACGGGAGGCAGCAGUGGGGAAUAUUGCACAAUGGGCGCAAGCCUGAUGCAGCGACGCCGCGUGGGGGAUGACGGCCUUCGGGUUGUAAACCUCUUUCAGUACCGACGAAGCGUAAGUGACGGUAGGUACAGAAGAAGCACCGGCCAACUACGUGCCAGCAGCCGCGGUA
rnacentral:rRNA from 1 species